GGGUCGGUGCCGGAGCGGCCAAUCGGACGUGGCUGUAAACCACGCGGCUUUACGCCUUCGGGGGUUCGAAUCCCUCCCGGCCCA
rfam:Candidatus Wildermuthbacteria bacterium RIFCSPHIGHO2_01_FTLL_49_22b rifcsphigho2_01_scaffold_76343, whole genome shotgun sequence.